AGAGAGAAGUGGGAAGAGGAAUAGUACUAUAGAAAGAAUAGUGAUGUGCUGGCAUUUUUGUAAUUUUCUGUUAUUUGGAGGCUGAUUUGAAACUAUUGAUUAAUCUCACCAUUUUCUCCUCAUAGCCGAUAAGAUCAGCUUUCUCUUUCUCCCUUUUUACUUUCUAUUCUAUGGUUUCUCUUCUCUCUUUAGAAAUUCUACUCCAAGAAAUCAAAUCUUCUUCAAAUUAUCGGUGCAAAGUCAGAUCAGAAUCAACCCACUUGAGAAAGCCAUUACAGCAACAAAACCAAAGUUCCUUUUCUAAAUUAUUCUUAGACACGUGCUCGUUCAUCGACAACCACUUCUUCAAGAGUUGCAUAUUCUUCCAUGGGAGUAGUGAGCACUACCUUGCACUUGAGUAAUGAUGUUUAUAGGUUGAUAAAAACCGACCCUGUUGCGCUAGCGUUUCACGUUCUUUCUAUUCGAUCUGAGGUGGGCUGCAUGAUCUAGGUUGCCAUUACAUGAGUGUGCUAGCGCUUGUGGCGAAAUAUGGACUCUGAGGUAUUUUCCUCACAAUGACUUGUAAUCCAAAGUGAGUAGAAAUUCAAAGUUGAUCAUUUCCUAUUGAAAACUGUCAUAAUAGAGUUGAUUAGUAUGCAAGAGUUUUCGGAGCAAAAAUUGAGUACUAGAAAAAGGAAAUUGUAAUAGACUCGUUGUUUUGGGUGGUUGCUGCUUAUUUUUAUGUGGUCAAAUUUCAGAAAAGAGGACUUCCACAUGUUCAUUGCAGUGGUUGCCGAGCAAAAUAAAGGUGAGUGUAAUAAAGGUGAAUAUUCUACAUGAAACAACGAUGUUAGUAGUCGAAUGAUGUCAUCAACGAUAUAGGAAAGUAUGCAAAUACAUUAUUGUUUGUCAUUAU